rnacentral:tRNA from 1 species
CUAAGGAAUAAAACGGAGCCUACACAUUGUCGAAACUUUGUUUAGUUUUGAGGGGUUUACCUCAAAACUUACUGAGACGCUUAUUUGGGCCUAUAGCUCAGCUGGUUUAGAGCGCACGCCUGAUAAGCGUGAGGUCGAUGGUUCAAGUCCAUUUAGGCCCAUAUAUGGGGAAUUAGCUCAGCUGGGAGAGCACCUGCUUUGCAAGCAGGAGGUCAUCGGUUCGAUUCCGUUAUUCUCCAUUGCCAAUCGUAAGGUUGGCACGAGCUUGUACUUUGAAAACUAAAUAAUAUCUAAUUUCUUUAUUUAUUAAAAACAAUAAACCGAGAACACCGCGUUAUUUGAGUUUUAUUAACGAAAUAAUCGCUAACUCAAUUAAUUGAGAUGACCACUAAGUGGUCAUCAA